UCUAUCUGAGAACUGUAUAUUAAAUGGAUUUUUGGAACAGGGAGUUGGAUUAGGAGCUUGCUCCAUCCACUCCACGCAUCAGCCCGGUAUUGCAGUAUUUCUGGGCAUGGUGCACCUCUC
rnacentral:snRNA from 1 species